AUUGAACGCUGGCGGCGUGCUUAACACAUGCAAGUCGAGCGGUAAGGCCCUUUCGGGGGUACACGAGCGGCGAACGGGUGAGUAACACGUGGGUGACCUGCCCUCAGCUCUGGGAUAAGCCUGGGAAACCGGGUCUAAUACUGGAUAUGACUCCAUGACGCAUGUUGUGGGGUGGAAAGCCUUGUGCGGCUGAGGAUGGGCCCGCGGCCUAUCAGCUUGUUGGUGGGGUGAUGGCCUACCAAGGCGACGACGGGUAGCCGGCCUGAGAGGGCGACCGGCCACACUGGGACUGAGACACGGCCCAGACUCCUACGGGAGGCAGCAGUGGGGAAUCUUGCGCAAUGGGCGAAAGCCUGACGCAGCAACGCCGCGUGUAGGAUGAAAUCUUUCGGGAUGUAAACUACUGUUAGAAGGGGAAGAAAUCCCGGUUACGCCGGGAGUGACGGUACCCUCAGAGAAAG
rnacentral:rRNA from 1 species